AAAAUUAAAUGUCUUGUAAUAAAUCGUUUGUAAUUGUCUGGAUCAUUUCAUUUCAGUGGGUUACUAAAAUUACUUUAAUCAAAUGGUUAUCAAGCCUGGAAAUAUGAAACAUGACUCCUAUGAAUAAUUUAUUUUGUAAACGGGAAUAAAUAGACCAACAAAUAAAUCUGAGUUAACUAUCAUUACAAUACUCUUAAAUUACAUAUCAGCAAAGUUUAAAAAAAUCUAGAUCCAAGUUCGUGACGUUUGGUAUUUAUCACGCUGAGGUCAAUGUCUAAUGACAUAACGAAUAAUAGAUAUCAAGUUUCAUAAACAAGAUGAAGUUUUAAAAUUAUAAAUAAUUUUUUUUUGUGACUUUGUUGUUUUAUCAUGUCCUUGUCAUUGUGUCAAUACCGAUCAUAAAAUGACAUCGAGUUAUUCUGCUUUCUGAUUCGAAACGGGGUAUAAAUAUCAGAUACAUUAUCAUUAUUGUUCUGACAGUUUGUUUGGCUAUUAGUUACUCGAAAUGGAUAAAUUAUUUUUUGUGAUUCUUAUUAUUGGGUUGCUAGUAACCCUGAGUCAUCAGAGGUGCCAACCUCACGGAGCAUGGUGUCAUCCUAUUGCUGGCUAUGGAUGUUGUGACAUUCAGUGGUGGUGUUCAAACGGAUGGUUCAAACAGGGAUUGUGUAUUUCGAACUGAAACGUCAGUGAUGAAUUUAAACAAAGAAUGCUUUGUAUUUUCAAACAUUAAAUAAAUACGCUCUAAAACAA